rnacentral:misc_RNA from 1 species
AUACAGGAUUUACCGACCCAGGAUAUGACUUGUGAUAAGUAUUUCACACCUAAACUACGUUAAAUGAAAGUUUGAAGACUAUGGAUAAAUUAAUGAAGGAGCGCCUCUCGUUACGAGACGAGCAACUCAAACAACUUUGUGCUGCAGCGACCGACAUCACGAACCGUGCGCAGACAGAAGGCGUGUCUUUAGAAGAACUUACAACAGUAAAGGUUAAACUUAUGACAGCAACCAAAAAGUUUGAAGAAGAUUUCUUCAAGUUAAUAAAAUGCUCCCCGAAUCUCGACAUAAAGGAACAAGAAAGGUAUACACUUAACCAAAUGAAAGCAGAAGACUUAUCUGCCGAAUUGGAGACAAUCUACCAACUAACCUGUCAAAAAAGGACUUGUAAUGAAACCCAAAUAAUGGGAACCAAACUGCCGAAACUGGAACUCAUGAAGUUUAACGGAGAUGUCUUGAAAUGGCAAGAGUUUUGGGACAAGUUCGAGUCUAAUAUCCAUAACCAACCAUUGAAUAAGGCUGACAAGCUCUCCUAUCUUUUCUCAUCUCUUGAAGGUAAGGCCUUAGAUACUCUGAGAGGAAUUGACAUUACAAAUAAUGGUUAUGAUGUGGCUGUAAACAUUCUUAAAGAUAGAUUCGGAGACAAAAGCCUUGUGGUUGAUGCCCAUUAUGAAGCACUGUCAAGACUGCCACAAUCAUCAAAUGACUCCUUACGUUCAACAUUAGAUGCAAUUGUUAAACAUAUACGCAUCCUUGACUCCCUAGGAGAAGACACUAAAGGAAAUAAUCUAAGGAGCUUGAUUUGCUCAAAGUUUCCAAAUAGUAUAAUUUAUGAGCUAAACCUAAUUACACCCAAGAACAGGGAUCUAGAUACCACUGUGAAAGGUUUGGAAAAAAUUAUAAAUGCAAAAGAGAGAUCUGAAUUUAACAAUGUGCUGGAUGUGCCAGACGUGCCAGACUUUAAGGAAUUGGGUCACUCUACAGAAGCUCUUCAUGUGAAACCAGUUCUGAAGAGAAAGCCUAUUCACCAUGGAUACAACAUACACCAUAGCCGGCGUAAACCAGAAUGUGCCUUCUGUAAAGGAGCUCAUUACAGUGAAGACUGUAAGGAGUAUAAAACAUUUUAUGAUCGUCAGAAAGCAUUGAAGUACAAAUGCUAUAGAUGUUUUAAACAUGGACACCCAUUUAGAAAUUGUAGCCUGAGAAUACCAUGUCACCACUGUCAAGGCAAUCAUAACAGAGCCAUGUGCCGUAAGAUACUUCAGCAACAUAUAUCAAUGAAGAAAUCUGAAAAAACAAAGACAAUUGAAAACGACGAUAAUGACAAGAGUGAGGAGUAGAGAUGGUGAUAUACCAGCAUAGCUUCUAUUGAUUUGUGAGAGCCAGAGAAGCUAUAUAACAUCAAACUUACUUAUUUAUAAAGAUUUAUUUAAGACAAAUUACUUAUUUAUUAUUUUUGGCCUCAACUCACCAACAGAGAUCAUCAGUCUUUCAGUUGAAAUAACUUUAACCACUAAGAGAGGUACAGAAUGUUGAAUUUCUAUAUUGUAUCACACAUAGAAUCCAGCUGACAGUUUUAUUUGCCAAUGAAAGUACAGAGGUCCCUCCAUGAUAGAGGAUUUGACGGCAUUGCUGUUGAAGUUCAGAAUGGGAAAAUAAAGUUGCAGAUAGAUUUUAUAUUGACAAUCUAGCCUAGCCUGCUGCCUGCCUGCUGUCUGCUGCUGCCUAGCUUAGCCUGGUAACAAGAUGAAGCACUACUUGAACUUUAUAAAGAAACCAUAGAGACAUUCGAUAGUUUAUCAAUAACAAGCGAAAAUAUUUGUGGACUGAUAGUAUGACCAUCCACUCUUAGAUGAAAACCUCAAGACUAUAGUCUUCUUUGCGGUUUGGGACUUGUAAUCAAAAUAAAACAGAAUAAGGACUUCGAUUUACGUUACGUAUCAACUGCCCCACCGCUGUCGCGACAUGUCCUGACAGUGUAAAGUUAAAAAAGGAAUUAUAGUUCUCUGGACCAACAUUUUAUAUGAGAGGUGAAACGGAAUGGCCUGUUCUGUAAUGAUGAAAGUGCACCUUCGUUGGCUGAGGAGGGUCUGAUGAUAUCAGAGGAUCCUGAAAUGGCUGGGAAAGGUUAUGAAGACUAUUUUUUGACAUGCAGCUUCCUGAGCAAAAUACAAAUGAAGUAGAGACAUCUAUGAAAGAAAUAACAGAUAUACAAACAAGUACUUCCCUGAUGAAGUAGCUGGGAAACGAAAAGACUGUCUCAGACAUUUAGUUUGAUUCAUAAAAUGUAUUGGAUACCCCAAGGGAGAGCUCAAGAAGUAAAUCGUAGUGGAGGCCCAUAUGAGUUAUAUGAUGCAACGGUUUCCCAGUAGAGAGAGUUACCUUUAGUGAACAAUUCACAAUUGCAGGAAUGGAUUACUUUGGUCCUAUCAUUCUUGAAGUUUCUAAAAAAAGGAUAAGAGAUAGAUCUGUCUUUUCACUUGCCUAGAUGUAAAAGCAAUCCAUUUACAGGUUGUUAACGAUAUAACCAUAAAAGAAUGUCUAUUCACCGAGAUACAAUUUGUUGCAUGUUGAGAAAUACCAUGGUUAUGUCCAAUAAUGAUACACAAUUUAAAUCGAAAUUUUAUGGAAAAGUCAGUGUGUGAAGAGCAACAUUAAAUAAAAAUUUAUUCCUCUGUUACCGCCAUAGCACGGUGGCGUCUACGAAAGACUAACUACCUUAGUCGAAAGUAAAGAUGGGAAAUGUCAUGUGGCAAAGGUACAAGUGGGAAAUCGGACAUUUACGCGUUCUGUUGCGCAUGUGUGUCCCAGUAGAAGUUAUCGAAAGAGUACAGACAGUAAAAAAUUGCAUUGACCAAGUACCAAAAGGGCGAGAAACAGCAUUUGAAGUUGAGACUCCUGAAGUUCCCCGUGAUAGUUGUAGAAAGCGAAGUAAAUGGUCUUUACAACAUUCUGACAUCAACAGGAUGUGGAUAUGGUUGAAGGGAGUUCCCUUUUUCGAGGAAUCUAUCGAAAUGUAUGCAUCUGAGACAGACCAGGUUACUAAUAGAGUAACAGAUGGUAGAGUCAGAGGAGAGGCUGCCAUCCGCGCACGAGAAAGGUUCGCGGAGUGGAUUCUACAGCUUUUCGUUCUUCUUUCGCCGUCGGGAGUGUCGUGGAGUCCCACGAAUUCUAUGUUGGAGAGCGCGGGACUUUGCGUGUUGGCGCGAAUACGUUAUAAGAGAAAAGAACACGAUAAGAGUACGAAUCGUGAGAGACACCAGGUAAUGGUUGUCUGCCUGCAUGUAAGAUGAUGUGGAGCAAGGUCGGUAAGUCCCUGAUGGCUUAGUUAAGUGAAGUGCGACAAGGCUCUUGAGAUAUCAUCUAUUAUGUUACACGUUGUACAGCAUGAGGUACAAAGUAGUGUCAUUGAAUGUAAUAAUUGUCACAGUGGUUCUGAGCAUUAAGUUACCUCUCACCAAGUUUGACGGGUGCUCUGGGAUCAGCACUAGGGUGAAGUGGACGCACUUACCCAUGAGCUAGGUGGCGUGGAUCGCAACGUCCAGCCAGCCUAGAAGCGAGUUUAGGGGUGGCCACCCAAUCUUGAGUAGGGGGACUAGCAGUACGGGCUCUUCGCCGUACAUGUUCCCCUAGUAAUCCUAUCUGGGCGAGAUUCUGAUGGAUUCGUAUGAGCAGAUAGUGGGUGGUGAGAGGCAGGGAGGUAAAGGCGGGUUGUAGGGGUGUUGAGGAGACCCGAGGGGGCCCAGCCCCAUGUACAUGAGGAGAUGCUCAGUUACUGCCUAACGGGUAAGAGGAUCCAAUGUUGCAAGCCUCACCAGUACAUGGAAGUAGCCAAUGCUGGUAAGGUGGAUCCAACGGGUACGAGACCCGGGCCCGUGCGGAGAGUAAUGCGGUCUUCUACCGUCCAUCAGUCGAAGAUGGCUCUCAGAUAAAACAUAGAUAGUUGAAGUAUCUAUGUCGGACGCGUUAG